UCCAGAUUAACGGGGAUGCAUUGGGGAAAUCAAUUUCAACGUGAUUAAGGUGAAGGGGAAAAAAAAAGGGCGAGCCUCUUUUUCCUCUUGAUCAGCUGAUAGCAAUUAGUAGGAACGCCUGCCCCUAGGGCAGACAGGAAACCAGGAAUCUCUCAGUCGCCACGGGGAGAGGGAACUGAAUUUCCAAAUCUAAGGUUCAAAGCCUGGGGACCAAGGCCUGCCGUUGAGAAGGAGCCCUAGUCUGACUUGGACAUGUCAAAUUCUUGCCUGUUUCCGAUUUCCUUUCCCGGGAUUCUUCCAGGAAGAAUAAUAAACAGCUUCCCAGCAGCUUAUGACUCCUUUGGAAAUUUAAUGUUUGACCUCCAUGUUGGGCUGGAACUGCACAUUUAUCCCACUUAGAAAUCUAACUGCUUGGUCUAACUGCUGAGAGAUGCAUCUAAAAGUGACUGAAAGACCCAGUGACUGAGUCCUUGGAAGGAGCCAUUUAAAAGCCCUGACAGACUCUAUUAAACACUGGUUGUAUAUGCAAAGAAAAGAA
rnacentral:lncRNA from 1 species